rnacentral:rRNA from 1 species
UUGCUUCUUUGCUGACGACCGGCGCACGGGUGCGUAACGCGGAUACGAUCUGCCUUGUACUGGGGGAUAGCCUUGAGAAAUGAAGAUUAACACCCCAUAGUAUAUGACUGUGGCAUCGCAGACAUAUUAGAGGUUACGGUACAAGAUGAGUAUGCGUCCUAUUAGCUAGAUGGUGUGGUAACGGCACACCAUGGCGACGAUAGGUAGGGGCCCUGAGAGGGGGAUCCCCCACACUGGUACUGAGACACGGACCAGACUCCUACGGGAGGCAGCAGUGAGGAAUAUUGGACAAUGGAGGCAACUCUGAUCCAGCCAUGCCGCGUGCAGGAAGACUGCCCUAUGGGUUGUAAACUGCUUUUAUACGGGAAGAAACACCCCCACGUGUGGGGGCUUGACGGUACCGUAAGAAUAAGCACCGGCUAACUCCGUGCCAGCAGCCGCGGUAAUACGGAGGGUGCAAGCGUUAUCCGGAAUCAUUGGGUUUAAAGGGUCCGUAGGCGGACAAUUAAGUCAGAGGUGAAAGUCUGCAGCUCAACUGUAGAAUUGCCUUUGAUACUGGUUGUCUUGAAUUAUUGUGAAGUGGUUAGAAUAAGUAGUGUAGCGGUGAAAUGCAUAGAUAUUACUUAGAAUACCAAUUGCGAAAGCAGAUCACUAACAAUAUAUUGACGCUGA